CAAAAGGGACCAUGGUAUUCAACACUUAUCCUAAAGGCCACUACACGGCCAACCGCACCAAAAGCCCCAAAACAGAUAAGGAUGAAGGCCAAGAGUUAAGUUCACCUAUAUCACAUAUCCGGUAGCUCAAGCGUGCGCAGUCAGAGGUUUUUUUUUAAGCAUGUGCUAAUUAAUGAUGAUUAACAAAGGGACACAUGUGCAAUGAAUGAUACACAUCCAAACUCUCUCCUCUCAGUCAUCAGAACCUCACCGGAAACGGGGGCUCCGCCACGCCGAAGGCGGCGGAGCGGCCGAACGCCCAUUUCGACCACCCAAAGCAUCCGUCUUGACAACCUCUCUCUAAACCAACUCUUCGCUUUUAUCAAUUCUCAGCCAAUAAUUUGAAUUGAAGAACGAAAGCCAGAACCCUAGAACAAGAAAAACUGAAAUUAAACCUCUCCCACGGCUCGGUUCGUUACCUAAUCUUGGUGUUAAAGCCUAUCUACCUCAAUUCUAUCAACUGGAAACAAGAAAAAGAGAAGUCCAAAGAAGUUCACUAACCUUCGGAAUCGGGAAUUGCUCCGACCAAGCUCGAGAAUGUCAGAGAUAAAGAUGGGACGAACGUCUGAGAAUCAGAUAAACUUUAGAACUCUUCGACGCUUGACUCUCUUCUUCUUCUUCUUCUUCUUCUUCUUCUUCUCUGCUUUAGUCUGUAGGAUGUGUUGUGGCUGUGACGUUGUGGUCACCGAUGGAUUGUGAAUUGCAGGUCGUUCGUGAAGAUUGGAUUGGUCGAAGAUAGGAGAGUCGAAAUUCUGCAGAAGAUACAGAAUGGAUUGAAGAAAUGUUGAAGAAGGAGAUGGAAGAAUCCAGGUUCUGCAGAAGAUUGGAAGGUGAGGGGAUUAAAGCUCUUGAAGAAGUUGGUGACUCAAAGUGCCGAGUGCAGCACUGAAGGAGAGGAUUCUUUUGAAUGAACUGAAGGUUUCCUCUUUGUUGAUUGAACAAUGAGCUCCUCUUCUUCAAUCCUCUAGCUCUUGUAUGCACGUGCAGUUAUGAAUGAACGAGUUGUAAAAAUCCAAAUCUGAACCUCCUCCCAAUCUGGAUCAUGAACCCCAAUAUAUAGGAAGGUUAUCACCAUGUCUUUGCUUGGACUGUUUGUGGGACAGUGAGGAUAGAUCAUGGCGGUUAGGAAUUUCUACGGACCAUUGGACAUGGAGAAGACUUUGAACCUAACUUAUAUGGUGAUGCCGUUUGAAAUGAUUAUGUACAUAAAUUGCCAUUAAGUUAUAAGUGAUAUGAUUAAUGUGAUGGACCUUAUGCCA